rnacentral:rRNA from 1 species
GACAGAGGGUGCAAACAUUGUUCGGAAUUACUGGGCGUAAAGCGCGCGUAGGCGGCUUUGCAAGUCGGGUGUGAAAUCCCCAGGCUUAACCUGGGAACUGCAUUCGAGACUGCAUUGCUAGAGUAUGGGAGAGGGAAGUGGAAUUUCCGGUGUAGCGGUGAAAUGCGUAGAUAUCGGAAGGAACAUCAGUGGCGAAAGCGACUCCUGGACCAAUACUGACGCUCAUGUGCGAAAGCGUGGGGAGCAAACAGGG